UUGGGCGUAAGCGCGCGCAGGCGGUUUCUUAAGUCUGAUGUGAAAGCCCACGGCUCAACCGUGGAGGGUCAUUGGAAACUGGGGAACUUGAGUGCAGAAGAGAAAAGCGGAAUUCCACGUGUAGCGGUGAAAUGCGUAGAGAUGUGGAGGAACACCAGUGGCGAAGGCGGCUUUUUGGUCUGUAACUGACGCUGAGGCGCGAAAGCGUGGGGAGCAAACAGGAUUAGAUACCCUGGUAGUCCACGCCGUAAACGAUGAGUGCUAAGUGUUAGAGGGUUUCCGCCCUUUAGUGCUGCAGCUAACGCAUUAAGCACUCCGCCUGGGGAGUACGGUCGCAAGACUGAAACUCAAAGGAAUUG
rnacentral:rRNA from 2 species